rnacentral:rRNA from 1 species
CCCGCACAAGCGGUGGAGCAUGUGGUUAAUUCGAAGCAACGCGAAGAACCUUACCAGGUCUUGACAUCCCGAUGCUAUUUCUAGAGAUAGAAAGUUACUUCGGUACAUCGGUGACAGGUGGUGCAUGGUUGCCGUCAGCUCGUGUCGUGAGAUGUUGGGUUAAGUCCCGCAACGAGCGCAACCCCUAUUGUUAGUUGCCAUCAUUCAGUUGGGCACUCUAGCGAGACUGCCGGUAAUAAACCGGAGGAAGGUGGGGAUGACGUCAAAUCAUCAUGCCCCUUAUGACCUGGGCUACACACGUGCUACAAUGGUUGGUACAACGAGUUGCGAGUCGGUGACGGCGAGCUAAUCUCUUAAAGCCAAUCUCAGUUCGGAUUGUAGGCUGCAACUCGCCUACAUGAAGUCGGAAUCGCUAGUAAUCGCGGAUCAGCACGCCGCGGUGAAUACGUUCCCGGGCCUU